rnacentral:lncRNA from 10 species
AAAAAAAAAAAAAUUACAUUUGUGCCAGGCGAGGUGGCUCACAACAGUAAUCCUAGCACUUUGGGAGGACAAGGCAGGAAGAUCACUUGAGCUCAGGAGUUCAACAGCAGCCUGAGUAACAUAGUGCGACCUCGUCUCUACAAAAACAUACAAAAAUCAGCCAGCUGUGGUGGCAUGCGCCUGUAGUCCUAGCUACUCAGGAGACUGAGGUGGGAGGAUCUCUUGAGCCCAGAAGGUAGAGGCCAGUGAGCUGUGAUCAUGCCACUGCACUCCAGCCUGGGCAACAGAGCAAGACCCUGUCUCAAAAAAAAAUUUACACUUAUAAUCUGGAUUCAUUGUAGGAAAAUUCAGAUAAAAAAUAGGAGAAAUUGCCAGGCAUGAUGGUACUCAUCUGUAAUCCCAGCUACUAAAGAGGCUGAGGCAGGAGGAUCAUUUGAGCCUAGGAGUUUAUACUGUAGUAUGCUAUGUCUGUUGGAUGUCUGCACUAAGUUCAGCAUCAGUAUGGUGACCUCCCAGGAGCGGGGGACCACCAGGUUGCCUAAGGAGUGGUGAACACAGAUUGGAAACAGAGCAGGUCAAAACUCUUGUGUUGAUCAAGAGUGGGAUCAUGCCCGUGAAUAGCCACUGCACUCCACCCUGGGCAACAUAGUGAGACCCUGUGAAAGAAAGAGAGAAAGAGAGAGAGAGAGAGAGAGAAGAAAGGAAGAAAAAGAAAGGAAUGGAAG